CCUACGGGAGGCAGCAGUGAGGAAUAUUGGUCAAUGGGCGGAAGCCUGAACCAGCCAAGUAGCGUGCGGGAUGAAGGCCCUACGGGUCGUAAACCGCUUUUGCACGGGGAUAACACCCUCCACUUGUGGAGGUCUGCAUGUACCGUGCGAAUAAGGGCCGGCUAAUUCCGUGCCAGCAGCCGCGGUAAUACGGAAGGCCCGAGCGUUAUCCGGAUUCAUUGGGCUUAAAGGGAGCGUAGGCGGGCGUUCAAGUCCGCGGUCAAAGCCCGGGGCUAAACCCAGGCCCGCCGUUGAAACUGGCAGGCUCGAGUUGGAGAGAAGUAGGCGGAAUGCGCGGUGUAGCGGUGAAAUGCAUAGAUAUCACGCAGAACUCCGAUUGCGAAGGCAGCAUACCGGAGCACAACUGACGCUCAGGCACGAAAGCGUGGGUAUCGAACAGGAUUAGAUACCCGAGUAGUC
rnacentral:rRNA from 1 species